rnacentral:lncRNA from 1 species
GUCAUUUCAUUGGAUACUAAGCUAUAAAAUAACAGAAGCAGUUAUCACUUUUCGCUAGCCCCCAAUCCAUAUCUAACUGGGCCGAACACUCUUGUGGGGUUUUAGUCCACAGACAUUCAAAUGCCUUAUCAACGCUUCUUUCUGGAUCAGAGGAUCAUCUCCAGCCUAUAAAAUGGAAGGAUGACUAGCUAUGGUUACUAACGUGGGGGCCCUCUGCGCCCAUUUGCAUGUGAGGAAUGAUGCAAGACAACUCAUUAACACACUAACCGGACAGUGGGCGUACUCCAGUAUACCUUGUAAUAAUCUCUUUGUUCCUUGUUCUUGAUGUUUAUGAAUCUUCUAGCUGGCUGCUGCCAUCAUUGGGAACCUUCACAGCCAUACCCUCCAGUUUUGAUGCUCACCUGCAUGACAGCAAUUAGGAAGGCUGGUCUCAUGAGAAUCAUAUCCAGCCUUGACGUAAAAAAGAGAAUACCCUCGGAGAAUAAGAUCAAUACCUUGGGGUCUAACAGCAGAAGCCACGACCAAGUAGCUUAGCCCCAAGUCCGGAGUUUUAGA